UCCGGUUCUCGUUCGAUCACCGAAGUCAAGCAUCAUCGGGUGCGGUCAGUAUUUGGGAGGGUGACCACCUAGGAAAU